AAGGGUAUACCUCACUGGUAGAGUGCGUGCUUAGUAUGCACAGGGUCCUGGGUUCAAUCCCCAGCACUUCUU
rnacentral:tRNA from 1 species